rnacentral:piRNA from 1 species
UGAAUCACACUUGAUCGUUCAAGAAGCCU